rnacentral:rRNA from 1 species
GAUGAGAACUCCUCAUAAGGGUCGUCAUAGACGAUGACGUUGAUAGGGUGUAGGUGUAAAGACGGUGACGUCAAAGCCGAGCACUACUAAUUGCCCGAAACUUUCUUC